rnacentral:rRNA from 1 species
AUUGAACGCUGGCGGCAGGCCUAACACAUGCAAGUCGAACGAGUGGCGGACGGGUGAGUAAUGUCUGGGAAACUGCCAGAUGGAGGGGGAUAACUACUGGAAACGGUAGCUAAUAACGCAUACCAUCGGCUAUGCCCAGAUGGGAUUAGCUAGUAGGUGGGGUAACGGCUCACCUAGGCGACGAUCCCUAGCUGGUCUGAGAGGAUGACCAGCCACACUGGAACUGUGACACGGUCCAGAUUCCUACGGGAGGCAGCAGUGGGGAAUAUUGCACAAUGGGCGCAAGCCUGAUGCAGCCAUGCCGCGUGUAUGAAGAAGGCCUUCGGGUUGUAAAGUACUUUCAGCGGGGAGGCGUUACCCGCAGAAGAAGCACCGGCUAACUCCGUGCCAGCAGCCGCGGUAAUAC